AUUGAACGCUGGCGGCAGGCCUAACACAUGCAAGUCGAACGGUAGCACAGAGAGCUUGCUCUCGGGUGACGAGUGGCGGACGGGUGAGUAAUGUCUGGGAAACUGCCCGAUGAAGGGGGAUAACUACUGGAAACGGUAGCUAAUACCGCAUAACGUCGCAAGACCAAAGUGGGGGACCUUCGGGCCUCACACCAUCGGAUGUGCCCAGAUGGGAUUAGCUAGUAGGUGGGGUAAUGGCUCACCUAGGCGACGAUCCCUAGCUGGUCUGAGAGGGUGACCAGCCACACUGGAACUGAGACACGGGCCAGACUCCUACGGGAGGCAGCAGUGGGGAAUAUUGCACAAUGGGCGCAAGCCUGAUGCAGCCAUGCCGCGUGUAUGAAGAAGGCCUUCGGGUUGUAAAGUACUUUCAGCGGGGAGGAAGGCGGUGAAGUUAAUAACUUCACCGAUUGACGUUACCCGCAGAAGAAGCACCGGCUAACUCCGUGCCAGCCGCCGCGGUAA
rnacentral:rRNA from 1 species